rnacentral:rRNA from 1 species
AUUGAACGCUGGCGGAAGGCCUAACACAUGCAAGUCGAGCGGAGCGGCGGACGGGUGAGUAAUGCCUAGGAAUCUGCCUGGGAGUGGGGGAUAACGUCCGGCAACGGGCGCUAAUACCGCAUACUAUCAGAUGAGCCUAGGUCGGAUUAGCUAGUUGGUGGGGUAAAGGCAUUCCAAGGCGACGAUCCGUAACCGGUCUGAGAGGAUGAUCAGCCACACUGGAACUGAGCCACGGGCCAGACUCCUACGGGAGGCAGCAGUGGGGAAUAUUGGACAAUGGGCGAAAGCCUGAUCCAGCCAUGCCGCGUGUGUGAAGAAGGUCUUCGGAUGUUAAAGCACUUUAAGUUGGGAGGCGUUACCAACAGAAUAAGCACCGGCUAACUUCGUGCCAGCAGCCGCGGUAAUAC